GCCCAUACAUUUCAGUCGGUAGAGUGCUAGGCUUUUAACCUAAAUGUCCAGGGUUCGACUCCCCGCGUGGGCG
rnacentral:tRNA from 1 species